rnacentral:pre_miRNA from 1 species
AUAGUACUCCCUCCGUUCGGAAUUACUUGUCGCAGAAAUGAAUGUAUCUAGACGUAUUUUAGUUCUAGAUACAUCCAUUUCCGAGACAAGUAAUUCCAAACGGAGGGAGUACAUG